rnacentral:lncRNA from 1 species
AUGGGUCGUUCACAUUUGGUGAGUUCUCCACUGAAACGCUCACCUUUCGCGGAACUAGAGUGCCGAAGGUGGCUCUCGGCUGCGGCCACGACAACGAGGGCUUAUUCGUGGGUGCCGCCGGUUUGUUGGGUCUCGGCCGUGGGAGACUCUCGUUCCCCACCCAAACCGGUCUCCGGUUCGGCCGGAAGUUUUCAUACUGCUUGGUGGACAGGUCAGCCUCGUCUAAACCGUCCUCCGUUGUGUUCGGACAGUCCGCCGUUUCGCGAACCGCUGUCUUCACUCCUUUAAUCACAAACCCUAAACUCGACACCUUCUACUACCUCGAACUCACCGGAAUCAGUGUCGGCGGCGCCAGAGUUGCGGGCAUCACCGCCUCUCUCUUCAAGCUAGACACCGCCGGAAACGGCGGGGUCAUCAUCGACUCCGGCACCUCCGUCACCCGCCUCACCCGGCGAGCUUACGUAAGCCUCCGCGACGCCUUCCGGGCCGGAGCAGCGGACUUGAAACGGGCGCCAGACUACUCACUCUUCGAUACCUGCUUUGAUUUGUCGGGGAAGACGGAGGUGAAGGUGCCGACAGUGGUAAUGCACUUCCGCGGAGCUGACGUGUCGCUUCCAGCGACGAACUAUCUGAUUCCCGUCGACACUAACGGCGUCUUCUGCUUCGCCUUCGCCGGAACCAUGAGCGGCCUGUCCAUCAUAGGGAACAUCCAGCAACAAGGGUUCCGGGUUGUCUUCGACGUGGCGGCUUCACGGAUCGGGUUCGCUGCCCGCGGCUGCGCCUGAACCGGGUCAGGCCAUGGAGGGUCAAAUCUCUUUCUUACCCUCUUCUCCUUUUUUUUUUUUUUUAAGUUUUUCUUUAAGUUUCAAUUUUAACCUAAGCAGCAAAAAGAGAGAAAGAGAGGAAGUAGGGUUUGGAAUGGAAGCGGAACGUGCCUCGCACGUGUGGGUUAUAUAUAUUAUGUAAGUGUAAUACAGGGGUAAUUUGGUCAAAUACAAAAUUGAGUUUACCUCUAUCUUCUAGUCGUGAUUGUGAAUGAUGAGAUUAUAUAAAUUUAUUGUGGUUUGGAAGAUGAGGUUGAAAAAUGAUAUUUAUAGGUGGAAACCUAGUGGUAUUUAAUCAUCAAUCUUGUCUACCCAAUUACCAUUAAGUAUUGGAUAGCUAAUUACCAAAAAUAAAAUUAAAUUCUUUCAUCAAUUAUAAUCCUAAAUCGGUAUAAAAAAAUUACUUAUGUGACUACUUCGAGGGUAAACUAGACAUUUCCAAAUAUUAUACAAAAUAUUGGUAAUUUAUAGGUCUUUUUUAAUAUAUAUAUUUCGAUAAAAUAAUAUAGGAAAUUGAAAUGAAUAUUUUGUUUUUUAUUUUUUUUAUAAAUGGAGAUAAGUUUGGUGAUUUCAUUUUUAAUGUUUAAUCAACAUUGGGAAUGAUUAUUUGUUUUUAUUUUAAUAUUUGAUAAUAAUAGUAAUAAAAAAAAUGAUAAUAAUAUCUUUAUAUAUAGUUUAAAAUAUUAUUUUUAUUUUUAUUUUUAAAAAUAUAAAUUUUGAGAAUUUUUUUUUUUACUAAAUAAUAAGACUAACCAUUAUAAUUUUAUUAUGAGACUUGUUGAAUGAAAUUUAAGGGUAAAAUAGUAAUUUUAGAUUUAUUAUAAAAUAAAUGAAUCAAAAUAUCACAAAUUUGUGAUGUAGCAUUGGAUUUUUUAAAUCAUUUUUUAUUUCAUUUCUAUGUUAAUCCAAUUUAUCCAAACAUGGCAUAGGAACAAGGAAUGAAAGAAAUGAAAUAUCUAUUAUCACGUAAAAAAAUACCCCUAUUUUAUAUUUAAGUUUUUAAAUAAAAUUUUAUUCUAAAAAGUAAUUAAAAACUAAUUCUUAAAAUAUUACCAAAUAGAUGUUGCAUUCUUUUAUUUGAUAAGAAAGUAAAAAUAAAUCUAAACAUAUAAGAAAAUUUAAUUAGAAUCAAAUAUAAUUUUUAUUUUAAUUUCAAGUUCCAAGAAUCCAACAGGUGGAUUUUCGUGAUAGAAGAGGGAGCAAACAAGAGCCAUUCGCGGCAGGCUUUGUCUUGACCAAACCAACCCCUUUUUGUCAUAUAUGACGUCUAGAUUCGUACCAACAGCUUAUAUGAUAGCUCAAGCUCCAUCAGCUACACAAGAAAAACAAAGGAACAAAGGGGUGGUGUAAUUUUCUGACUUGGAAAUGAUUUUGAAAAACACUUUUCAAACUUCUAUUAUUUUAGAUUUUAGAAACAAACAAAACCUAGACAUGAGACACAUGGCUGAGAAUCAAAUCUCACGAGUCACAACCACCAGCAUAAAUGGAGAGAAAGCCCAUGCUUAGUAAUGGUAAUACUACAUCCCCAGGAUGGUCAGGACUCAGGAGGAGGCACAUGGCAGCAAGUCAAAAAUGGUGGCCACCAAAUCCUUCCCAUUAUUACAACACCUAACAGCAGAGGUGAGUGGGCUUUUUUCAAAAGCUGUAACUGCUGUCACUUUAUCCAUGAGUCCCAAAGAAAGAUUUCUUUUGUUUUUCCCAAAGAUUAUGGUGGGUCCAAGAUGCCACAUCCACCCACUAUAAGAAAAUUCCAUGAGAAUACCAAACCCUAAAUCCUCUCCCAACCCCAUGUGACAUUGACCAAAGAACAUGAAACAUAUAAGCAAUUAAUUGGUCGUUGGAUGAUAGAACAAUUGUCUAAUCCUUUAGGGAGAGAGAUGGAUUGAAGCUUAGUAAUUCAUUUGGGCUUGGUUUGACAAGGGGGUCAGCAUGUGGCCCAGAUUGAUCAUGGGCCAACCAGGCCCAAAAUGUACCAAGGAUGAAGCUACGGAGAGCAUAAACCCGAUCCAAUUGACUUUGAGCACUGAGGUGUAGAUUGAGAGAUCGUGGACGAUGGAGGAAGAGAGCGGAGGAGGGCCGAGGGUGGUGGCGAUUUCGCUGAUAGAGAAGGCGACGAACUCCACGGCGUCGGAGGUUGACCCGCGCCUUCUCAAAUCCAUCAAAUCGGUGGUACGAUCUUCCGAUUCGGAGCUCCGAAUCGCCGCCCAAACCUUAAUGGACCUCAUGAAGCGAGACCAUGCUCAGGUUCCGUUUCUUCAAUCCUUGUUUGUUUGUUUGUUUUUUUUGGUAUUCUUGAUGUUUGGUUUCUUGAGAAAGCCGAGAAAAAGAAAGAAGAGAAACGACAGUUUUAAAUUUUCUGUUCUUUGUUUUGGUUUUGAGAGAUUGAUUGAAUCUUAGGGUUUUGUUGUGCUAGGUUUUGGUUACGAAGUUAGGUUGAAUUGCAUGUCGAAUGAAAAUUUAUGCUUCGAUGUAACUCAGUUGGGAUUCAAUCGAAUUCAGAAUUCCUUUGAAUCCUAAUUCACAAUAGACAAUAUGUUGUUUAAAUCAAUAUUUCCAGAUUCCAAUGGGAAUUCUUUGAAAAUUUGAAAAAGAUGAAAUGAAAAUAUGAAAUGCAUAAGUCACUGUUUUUUAUAGUUUACGGUUAUGCUUGUAUCAUUUGGUUUUAUUCAGAUGAAUCCAACUAGUUCGAAUGACAUUAUGGGGAGUUGAGUUGAACAAAAAUAAUGUGUGUUGGUUGUUAUUCACUUGAGGCAUUCUUGAUGAGGUUAUUAUCCAGGUAUAGAGAUGACCUAUUGGGUUGAAUUUGUGGUGUUAUUAUGUGUUGAAAGGUUUUCUUUUAUUUGUGAACAUUUUGCGGGUUGAGGGUGGGUGCUUAAGAGUAAAGACUGUUUGUUUAAUAGCUCUGGGGUCGGUUUGUAUUAAAUUACUUCUUUUGAUUUUCAGUUGUUUGUGCUCUCUCUCAUAGUGAUAAUCUCUCAUGAGAGAGAAGAAUUUUGGCUGAUAAAAAUUGAUACUUUGGAUGUGUUCCGCAGGUGCGGUACCUUGCACUUCUCAUAAUUGAUGAACUGUUCAUGCGAUCAAAGCUUUUCAGAACCCUCCUUGUUGUGAACUUGGAUCAAUUAUUGAGUUUAAGUGUCGGAUUUAGAAGAAAUCAACCACUCCCUGCUCCUGCUGCUGUUGCAUCUAUUUUGCGUUCAAAGGCAAUUGAAUUCUUAGAGAAGUGGAACACUUCAUUUGGGAUUCAUUACAGACAGCUCAGAUUAGGGUUUGACUACUUGAAAAACACUCUUAGAUUUCAAUUUCCUAAUCUACAAGCAAAUGCUGCCCGGAUUCAACAAGAGAGAAAGGAAAGGGAGAUGAGGUCAAAAGAGAUUUUACUGAAGAAGUUUGAAACACUGAAAGAAAAGUUUUCUUCUAUUAAAGAGGAAAUUCAGUUAACAAUGGAUGAGAUAAGGGAAUGUUUAGACAUUGUACGUCCUAAAGAUGAAAGUGUGCCCCUGGAUUUCAUAGAGGAUGAUGAAAUGGAAGAGUUCUGUAGUUCUGAAUUGCGGCAGAUCCGUCUUGAUUCAUUGAAAGAAGCAGAAAAAGUUCAUGAGAAUAGUGAUAAUAAAGUGGUUUUUGAUGCAUUGAGGGAGCUGUACAAGCUCCUAGUGACAAGGCAUUUGGUUUCAGCACAAGAAUGGAUCUCUGUUCUUAUAAGGGUUGAAGUGGCAGAUAACAGAUCCAGAGACUCGAUGCUGAAGGAGUUCAUUGAUAUCCGGAAUCAUAUCCAGUCAGUGAAGAAGAAAUGUGAAGAAUCAGGCUGUGUUCUUGCUAAUACUAUGAAUGAUGAGGAAGAGGAUUUUUGGGAGGAGGGUAAGAUAGAACUAUCUGAGAGUGAUAGUUUUACUGCAGCAAACAAGCAAAGUAAAGAUCUUGCCAAGGCAUCAACUUCCAGCAAAGCAAAAAGUGAAGCUCCUGAAUGUAGUAAUAAAGAGUCUAAUGGCAAUAAGAGGUCAGGUCGGGAAAGCAUUGAAAGUGAUUCAACCUCCCUGAGAAGUAAGCUUUUGGCUGAAGCUCCAUUAAUGAAUUGGGGCUCCUUCUUGGAUAACUGGGGUUCAAAGCAAGAUGUUUUGGCUAACCAGAGAGGAUUGGAGCUUGAAGGCCACUGGGGUAGGGUAGAUUAUGAUGCAGUUAUUCCAGCAGAAAAAAUUGCAGAGUUGAACAUUCAGACAACUGUUUACAAGGAAGAACGUGUCGAUAUCCAACCAUGCCGUGCUCCAUUGAGCAAAGGCGGGCUUUGUCAGAGACAAGAUUUGAGAGUUUGCCCUUUUCAUGGGCCCAUAAUACCUCGAGAUGAUGAAGGAAAACCAAUCCAUGAGAACUCUUCAACAGAAGAGAUAACUCUUGAUUUAGGGUCUGAUUUAGUAGAGCAAUUAGCAAAGCAGGCUGUGAAGAAUGUUCGAGAUAGAGAUAAAGAAGAAACAAAGAAGAGAGAAUAUGAUAAACAAGCAUUGAAGCGUGCAAAGCUUGCAAAAGUCCGAGAACACAAUGAAGCAGUCUUACGAGAAGCUGCAAUGGCAUCAACUUCAAGAUCGGAGGCUUUUGGUGAGGAUUUGGGGGCUACCAAUAUGGAUAAACCCUUGGCCAGAAAUAAGAAGCAAACUCUAGCCUCCAUGUUGCGCAAGAAAAUAACAACAAAAGAUCGGUUAGGUCAAAAACUUUUGAACACCCGGGUAAGGGAUGAAACUAUGAGACAGCUAACGCUGGGUGAGGAUGCAAACUACAGAGAAGCCUUCCCAAAUCAGUGGUAGAACUCUUUUCCCUGUUGCACCAUAGGCUGGCUUUCUUGGAGGCAGGAAGUACAAUGGAUUCAUACGCCCAGUAAUGCUCAGGUGCAUUUCAGGUUUAUUUAUUCAAACUCUCAAACCUAGUGCAUGAACUUGUUGCUGUCUGCCUUCUGAUAAUCCAUUUGCUGAUUUAAUGCAAUCCGGGCUUGAAGAAUGGUGAAUGAUCCAAGGGGAGCCGUCCAGUCUAUAAUUUUGUAAGAUAUUUGUUUGUAUGUUAAAUUUUUCUUUAAAUCUUUCUGAUAGAUUUUGUUUAUUGGAGAUGAAUAAAGAUUUAGAUUGAAAGUUCUCAAUAAUGACUUACGAAAUUCUUUGGUUCAGAAGUCAGUAGGCGUCUCAAACAUUUGAUAGUUUAUAUUUUUAUAUUCUGAUGUCAUUGUUUCUACUCUCAUGUACAUUCAAUAAAUAUAAUAAUAAUAAUAUUUUACAAAUAAUAAAAUAGAAUGCUUAUCUAAAGUAAUAUUAGAUUUAAAUAUCUAUAUAAAAUUAUCCUUUCCUUAUUUUAUUUAUAUUUAUAUUAAAUUAUAAUUAUAUUUUAUGCUUAUAUUUUUUAAAAAUAAAUCAAAUUACCUUACUUGAAGUUACCCACAAUUAAUUUGAAAUUUAAAUUAUGAGAAAGAAUAGAAUAGACAUGAGAAGCUCCUUCCACAACCACAAAUAUUUGAAAAAAAAAAUAAAAAAAAAAUCCUCCUCUUUGAAAAAAUAAUCUUCAUUUUCUAAAAGUAAACUAUAAUUAUUAUUUUAAUUCUACAUUUUUAUCUUUAGUUUCAAAAAAAAUAAAAAAAAUUAAUGAGGAUAAUUUUGUUUAAAAAAAGUAAGGCCAAAAAGAUUGAGAUUAUUCUUGAAUAUGCCUCUUUGAUCUAAUUCGUUGUAUUUUUAUUUAUUUAUUAUUUUUAUAUUAUAAUUAUAUUUUUUAAUACUUUGAUUAUUUUUUAAUAAUUGGGUUUAGAAAUAUUUUCUAAAAGAUACGCUUUCCAUGUCAUGUUUAUCCUUAAAAUGUAAAAGGAUUUAUAUACAAAGCAUAUCUAUUAUUUAUAUUUUCUUAUCGAAAAAAUACUUCAUUUACUUUUUUAUUUUAUUUUAAUAAAUACAAAAAAUAAAAUCCAAAUCCAUGCUCUCUUUAAUUUCUUCUUCCAUAAAAGCAAACUGUGAACACUCACUCAGAGAGGUACAGAGCCAAAGAAUCAAAUCCACAGUUUCAGUUUCUCUCUCUAGUCUCUCUAGCAUUCAUUGUGAGUUGGGGCGUUGGGUGAAUGGAAUCGGGAGAAAGCAGUGAAUGUGUUGCAAGUUCUGGUUGUCAUCAUCACCACAGGUCCUCCUUGAGGCAUCAUCAAAACGGCGUCGUUUCCGGGGUUCUUCGUCGCUCCCUCACCAUGGUCCUGGAGCUGCUUAAGUGCUCUGUUUGCUUCGAUUUUAUGUACUCACCUAUUUAUCAUGUUUGCUUUUUGAUCAAUUUUGCUUAAUGUGUUCUUCCCUUCUCUCUCAGUUUAGUUGUUUUUCUUACUUUAGUCUUUUGACUUUGUCUAAAAGGAAACCAGAAAAUUUCCCUGGAAAAUUUUUUUCGUCCAAACAAAUAGGGUCGUUCUGGUUUUUUUUUUUCUUGGAUUUUAUAGAAAUUGUAAUGUUGGGUUUUGUUAGGUGUGAAUGUUCUUUCUCUUUUUAUUUUUGGUGGUGGUUGAUUGCUGGGGAGGGUUUUGGAUUUUUUUUUGCCUGAGCUGCACUGGCACCGAAUUGAAGUUGUACAUUGGAUUAAAAUUUUUUUAGAUGAUUUUAUUUAUUGGAUUUUUUUUUUGUUUUUGGUUAAGUUGGAUUGAAUUGGAGUCAGAAAAAAUAAGGUGAAUUUGUGGGAUAAAGGAGAUUUAUGAGUUAAAAAAAUGAUUCUGGUUAGAAUUUGAGUUAUUUAGGCUCUGAACUUUUAUGGCUUUUGAGGUAGAUUUUCUCCUGAGUUUAUUGAUUGAAUUCUCUUCUUUUUUCACGUGGUUUCUUGGUUUCAUUUUGGAUGUGAAGUUGUUGGGGAAACUUAAGAAUAACUCCACUGUAUGAUAAAUUUGUUAAGAGUCCAAUCCUAUAUCUUUCUGGCAAAAGGCACUAAAUUUGUAUUGCCAACUGGAUUUUAGAACUGCCUCUCCCUAUUCCUGGCCCCUGAGGCCUGUAGUAAUUGAUUGACAAUACCAGUUCUCUUGCUCAGUUCCUUGGUUGUUGAGAAAGAGGCAUGGUUAUAGAAGAGCAUACACCUAGCUCUAGGCAUCAAGCACUUGGAUCUCUUGGUAUGAGUAUGACAAGGCUCUGAGUUUGAGAAUUCGUGAUGCCAAUCUUACAAGUGAGAUGAAACCGUAAAAGGGUUUGUCUCACAUACCUUUUUAUCGCACACGGAGGUGUUACACUAAAAUGAGUUUCUGCCUAUUCAAUUCCAAAUACUACACCUUGCAACGCCUUACAAAAACUAGGUUGUCACGCGCAUAGAUGAUAUCUGACACUCCUUUGAUCAGGGACAAUAUGAUAAAGUAGAAGGUCUAAAGGGAAGGUCAUUGGAAUUACAGAGAGAAGAGUAGACAACAUACUAAUGAUGGUGUUGGAUUGUAGAAACAGAGGUGUCGGGAUAUCAGUAUUAAAGAGGAGGGACUAUCAAUAGGCCUUGAAACUGAUGGAUUUAGGAGGCGGAAUUUUGGUGCAUGCGUAAACUUGUAUAAGAAAAAACUAAAUGUGACUUGUAUGAUCAAAAUUGAAUUGUUUUGUCAUUUGAAAGCUGUGUUUGGGAGAUGAAGAAUUCGGAGCUACUUGGCACUUGCUAGUUCCUUUGCGCCUCUGGGGAGUUAUCCCAGGCCUGGUUCGAUUGUUUCCUUGGACUUUGAACACCCCUUUUCAUCUUUCUUCCAUUUUUUUUGUCUUUAAAAACAUGGUUAUAUUAUUGUUGGUCUUUUCUUUUAUUAGCAUCCUCCACUUUUGAUGAUAGAGUGAUUUUGAUCAUGAAUGCCUUGAAUUGGUAUAGUGCCUAAAUGUCCCUUCCAGUUUUAUAGAUAUGUAAAUGAUGUCUUCUUGUUUGUCUAGGAAACCAAAAGUUUUUGUUUUUUGUUGAGCUUUGAAACAAAGGUUUUGUUCUUGUAGUGCCACAAUGGACACACACUCUGUUCAAGCUGUAAAGCAAGGGUACUCAACAAAUGUCCCAGUUGUAGGCAGCAGCUCGGUAAUAUAAGGUGUCUAGCUCUGGAGAAGAUGGCCAAAUCACUUGAACUGCAUUGCUAGUAUGAGGAGUUUGGAUGCCCUGAGAUCAUCCCUUACCACACCAAGCUCAUGCAUGAAGACUUCCGGCCAUACAGCUGCCCAUGGUAUGGAUGUCCGUGCUCUGCUGUUGGGGAUAUUCCACUCCUUGUUUCUCACCUGACAGAUUAUCACAAGGCAGUCAUGCUCUAUGGCUGCAAGUUCCUUUUUUUAACACGGCAAUCUUCAGAGGGAGUGACAGUAUUGGAAACUUUGGAAUGUUGGUCCUUUGAGAGAUCAUAGGAGAGUGAACUGGGAACAGAUUCUUCAUGCUUUUUGCUCGAAAUGAAAUUUGCUUUUGUGUUUUGCUGCUUCUGGUAUAUUACUCUUCUGUCAUAAAUAUGGUGUUAUGCAUCUAAAGGUGCCUACUUGCUCUGUUAUUAGUAGUCUGCAGGAGGUUAUAUUCCAGCCCUGGGGUUUGAACACCCCUUUUCAUCUUUCUUCCAUUUUUUUUCCAUCUUUAAAAAAAUGAUUAUAUUAUCCUUGGUCUUUCCUUUUAUUGGCUACUUUUGAGAUAAAGAGUGAUUUUGAUCAUGAAUGCCUUAAAUCAGUAUGGUGCCUAAAUGUCCCUUCCAGUUUUACAGAUAUGUAAAUAAUAUCUUCUUGCCCAUCUUGGAAACCCAAAAUCUUUUAUUUUUGGUUGAGCUUUGAAACAAAGCUCCCAUUCCUGCAGUGCCACAAUGGACACACACUCUGUUCAAGCUGCAAAGCAAGGGCACUCAACAAAUGUCUCAGUUGUACGCAGCAGCUCGGUAAUAUAAGGUGUCUUGCACUGGAGAAGAUGGGCAUGUCACUUGAACUGCAUUGCAAGUAUGAGGAGUUUGGAUGCCCUGAGAUCAUCCCUUACUACACCAAGUGCAUACAUGAAGACUGUGUAACUUCCGGCCAUACAGCUGUCCAUGUUCUGGAUGGGAGUGCUCUGUUGUUGGGAUAUUCCAUUCCUUGUUUCUCACCUGACAGAUUAUCACAAGGCAGACAUGAUCUGUGAGUUCAAAUGUCGAUUUUUAAUUGCUGAUGUCAAUGAAGAAGAAACCUGCACAUGGAUGGUAAAAGUAAGUAUUUUUUUUUACAUUGCCAUAACUUUAGAUUCAGAAAACAUAACAUUAAGAUGAACACCUUGGCACCAUACAUUAAGAGAGUGAUGCCAAAAACACUGCAUACACGAUUCACAGGUUUGCUGAAAAACAGUCCCAAUAUGAUAACAUGGUUGGUUGUUGGAUUAUGGCAAUAACUGAAUUUUUUCUUUUGUCUUUUUCAGAUCAUCAAUUGUUAUGGCAAAUACUUUUGUGUUCAUGCUGAAGCCUUCUUUCAAGCGUCGACUCCCAUUUGCGUGGUAUUCCUCAGCCUGACAGGCAACCAUGCAGAGGCCUGCAACUACAGCUGCAGCCUGGAGAUAGGGGGAAAUGGGCGGAAGCUUACUUUUGAGGGCAUCCCACGAAGCAUUAGAGAGAGUGAGAGGAGUUUGGAGAGUGCGGACAGUCUCAUUGUGCUGGGAAGCAUGGUGCAUUCCUUAGGAGGGGAGACGAGAGAGCCAAAACUUGAAAUUACAUGUCGGAUACGGAAAUCCCAGAUUCCAAUGUGUGCAUGUGUGGAUAAAACCGGUUGAUUGAUUGAUAUGAGAUUCAUCCUCUGUAGUUUAUCUUUCUUUCCACUCUGUAAACAAAGACGAAGAAGACAUGAGCAGAACAUGAAAGAAUUGAUUGGGUAGAUUCGUGGAUUGAAUUAAUACAUCCAGUGAUACAUGAUAUAAAAUUUUUUGACUUUACAAAUAUUUAUAUUAUUUUUUCCUUUAGUACUGAUUUCAUGUUUUAUAACUAGGAGCUUUGACCCAAAACGUUUUAAAAAAAAAAUCCAUAAAGUACCCCAAUGUAAUGUGUCUGCGUCACGUAGAUUGCCACGUCAUAAAACCGUAGUUGAUAACUACGGUUUUAUUUUUUAAAAACAGUCAAAACCGUAAUCACCAACCAACACGGCUUUAACUUUCAUUUACCUUUACCCCCUUUCCAGAUUAGUUUUAUUCAUUUAAAUUAAUUGGUUUUAGGUUUAAAUUUAAACCAAUUAUAUUUAUAACUAAUUAGUUACAACAACACUAUAAUGAUAUAGAAAAAAUAAUAUAUUAAAAAAAAUUUACAAUCUAAACCUCCAAUCAAAAUAAUUUUUUAAAAAUUGAACAUUCACAUGAUUUAAAAUUUGAACUUGAAAAAUUGGUUUUAGGUUUAAGUUUAAAAUUACGAUCACCAACUACUAUUUUGACUUUUUUUAAAAAAAAAAAAUCAAAAAUCAUGAUUAUCAAUUACAGUUUUGUGAUGUGAAUACCCACAUGAAUAAGACACACAUCACAUUAAAAAUUAUUUUGAGAAUAAAAUUAUUUUAUGAAUUUUCUGUUUUAAAGAAAUCAUUUUUGCCCAAAACUCUCAUUAGUACCCAAUAAAAAACAUUUUUCUUAUUAUCAAUGAAUUUACAAAAAUAUUCCAAAAGCAUUUUCAUCUAUUUAAUAAAACAAUUAAACUAAAUAGUGAAUUGAUUGGAAAAACAAAGGUAUUUUCUUUUUACAAUUCUAUAUUUUAAGAAGUGGAAAAACAAAUUCUUUUAGGUUGGCAUUUUAAGUUUAACAUUUUAAGUCUUUCCAUUCCAUUUUGAUCCCAUUUUGAAAGGAGAAAAAUGGAAAAAAAAAAAUUAUUUUUGUUGUAUUUAAGUAAUUUUCCAAUUAUUUUACCCACAUGAAGUCAUAUUAUAUUUUGAACAAGUGCAUAAUUGCCUUUAAUUUUUGCACAAAGUUAAUACUCUUCGUUAUGAAGGUAUAAAAUAGUAUAUUUAUAACUAAUUAUAUUUAUAUUGAGUGUAGUGCCAAAUAUUUUCAUAAAAUUAUCAAAAUACAUUUUUAUAUCAAAUUAAAGACAUCAAUUAUUUAGUUUUAUAUAUUACUAUUCUUUAAAUAAUGAGAUCAUUUAAAGUUAAAUAUUUUUAUUACACCACUUACAUAUUUUUAAUUAAUAUAAAAUCAAAAUAAUAUAAUAUUUUAUUUAAAAAAAUUAAAAUUAAAUAUAUAUAUAAAUAUAAAAUUAAAAUUAAAGUUGUAGUUGGUGACUACGGUUUUGUAAAAUCGUAGUUACCAACUACGAUUUUAUGAUAUGACAACUUACGUAGCAUAAACACAUUAAAUUGGGCAUUAUUUUAGAAAUGAGGGUAUUUUAUGAAUUUUUUUUAAAACAUAGUAUUUUGGGUCAAAGCUCAGUAACUAGUCUUUUGUGCUCUCGAUACACGGUCUCAUCCAUGGUUUUAAAAACCGGAUCGGACCGGUCGGUCCGACCAGUUUGACCAUCGCCCGGUUACCAGUCCGGUCCGGUUCGGCCAUUUGAGCCGGGGCCCUUCAAACCGGAGCCGGAUCGCCGGAACUAUGGUCGGACUGAUGAAUCGGAUGACCCGACCGGUUUCUGGUGAACAGAACGGCUCUCCUCCCCCAUCCAACGCUUCAUCAGCCCGGCUCAGCGCCGCCGCCCCGCACUGCCCCCAACCAGAUUUUUUCCCCUUUUUGGUGCCAAAACCCUUCCUUCUUCCUCGCCCUUCGCCCUUCCCCACCUGGAUUUUUUCCCUUUCCGUUUCCAGCGCCCCGCAACCCUUCCUUUUUCCCCACUGCGACAUCCCCACAUAGAUUUUUCCAUUUUCCGGUCCCCCAAAACCCUUCCUUUUUGCCGCCCUUUUUGACCGCCAAGAUUUUUGACAUUUUUUAUUUCCUACCUUGGCCGCCCUUUCCAAUUUUUUUUACUCCAUCAACAUUAUUAUUUAUUUUAUUUUAUAUUUAUUAUAUUUUUACUUCCUGAUUUUUAAAACUUGUGAUUUUAAUUAAAAUGAAUGAAAAUAAUAAAUAUUAUAAUUUUAAAUAAAUUUAUGAUUAUAAAAUAAGUUUUUGAUUUUAAUUUUAAUUUUUAAUUUGAAACUAAUUUUAUGAUUUUUCAAAUAAAAUGUUAAUUUUUAAAUAAUAUAUAAAUUAUUAUUAUAAUUAUAAUUAUUAUAAAUUAUUUUAAUUUUAAUAAUAUAUAUAAAAUUGAAAUUCGAACUCCCGUGAACCGUGGACUAGAAAUGAAUUGUGAAUCGGUCACCGAUUAAAAUUUGACCAUAAAUUGUGGAUUGGAAAUGAAUCGUGAAUCAAUAUAAUAUUGAUGAUAGAAUAAAAUAUAUUUAUGUUAUAAGAUAAGAUAAGAUGAUCAUAUAAAAAGAUAAUAUAAUUUUUAUAUUUUAAAAAAUAUCCGCUUAAUUUUAGGAUAAUAUAGUUUUUAAUAUUUUUAAAAAUAAUUUUUAUAUCUAUUAUUUUAUUUUUAAUCAUUUUACAUAUUUGUAUAAUUAAUUUUUAAAAUAACCUUUAAAAAAUAAGUGAAAAUAGUAAAAAAUAAUUAAAAAAUAUUAUUAAAAAAGAAAGUAGAAAAUAAUUUUUCAUUGUUAAAUAUGUUUUCUUGUUUUUUUAGAAAAUAGAAAAUUGUUUUAGAAAACAAUUGUCAAAUCGGUUAUUAAUUUUAUAUUUUUAUUUUUCAAUAAAAAAUUUGGUAUGGUGUAUUUUGCAAAAAAAAAAUUAAAUAGUUAUAUUUUAAAAAACAUGGAGGUUGCUCUAUUGGAUACGUAGGAAAAAAAGUUAUUAUAUAUAUAUGUAUUAUGUUUUUAAAAGAUAGCGAUUAUUUUUGAAUUUGAUCUAAUUUAUUGUAUUUCUUAUUAUUUUAAUAUUAUAAUUAUAUUUUUUAUAGUUUGAUUUUUUUUUUUAAAUAUUUAUACAAUAUCUUUCUAAAUUAAUUUUAAAAAUAUUUUUUUAAAGAUACACUUAAGGCUUAACUAACAUAGAAAUAUCAUGUUUAUCAUUAAAAUACAAAAGGAUUUAUAAACAAUUUAUAUUUUCUUAUUGUAAAAGGAUUUCUACUCAACAAGAAUGGUAACUAUAGACUUAUUCCUAUUCAAGUAUUGGUUUGUUCUUCUAUAAAUAAGAACUGAACUCAAGAGAGAAAAAGGGUAAAAAACCAAGGGAGAAUUCUUGUUAAGGGUGGGCUGGGAAAAGAUAUGACCGAAAAUGGUGGGUAUAUUUAAUAAUUCUUAUGAAGGGUAGGGUGGAAUUAUGAUAAUUCUUUCAAAGACUUUAUUUUGUUUAAAUGCCAAGACUACCCUUAACAAGUGAAAAGCCAGCCAACAAAAAAAAAAUCUUCUUUUAACCCGGCUGUAGCACUUUAGAUUAUGAUCUGAACUGUCUCCACAAAGCUUGUAUUUUUGUGUGAAUCUAGCAAGAAAUCCAUUAAAGGUAAGAUUUAAAAAAAAAAAAAUGCCAAAAAAAAAUAAAAUACGUUAGUUUAUGUAAAUAAAUAAAUAAUUUAAAAUUUGGAUUGAAUGAAAGAACUAUUAAUAAUUUUAACAAUGUAAAUCUGAAAUAUUGAAGGAGGUUUUGAGAAAGAAAUUACAUUUUUUUUUUUGUGUAAAAUGUUAUUAAAUUUUUUUUUUUUGAAUUUUUUUAUAUUAUUUUGGUCAUAUUGAAGAUGUGUUUUUAUUUUUAAUUUAUUUUCCGGGUGGGUUGUUUGAUAUGAUUAUUAUUGAUUUCCAUUGAAAAGGUUUGCACUUUAAUUUUGUUGUUGAGACUUGUUUGGCAUGGCAGAAUAAAAAAUUUUCUCAGUUGUUUUAUGCUUAUUUGGGUAUUUAUUAACAUAUUUGGAUUUUCAUUGAAAACUAAAAAUUAUAAUUAAUUGAAACAUAUUUUAUAUAAUAAAGAACAAUAUUUGUUGUAUAUUAGACAUGUAUAUUAGACAAUUGCCCAGUUUCAUAAGAAAUUUGAAAAUUUUAAAAUUUUACCUUAUCGUAAUGUAUCGUAAUGUUAUUGUAUUUAUAUUAUAAUCGUAGUGUAUUUUUAUUGUACAUUUAUAUUUUUAUAUAAAAAAUUAAUUUUAUAGAUUUUUUUUUAUAUAUCAUUGGAUUACCAUGAAUAACUUAUGUAUUAAAAUUAUAAUAGUGUAUUUUUAUUGUCUUUUUAUAAUUUUGGUUUGCAAGGAUGUUUUAUGAUAGGAAUAUAACAUAAUAGCCUAGAAAUACUAGUUCAGUAAAAAAACGAAUUAAAUAAUUUGUCAUUUUGGUAUAUUGUAAUGUAUUGUAAUGUUAAUAUUUUUUCAUUGUAACUAUAUUGCAUUUGUAUUGUACUUAUACUUUAUGAUUAUUAAGAAAGAAGAUGUACUUUUCAAUAGGUAAAUGGAUUUGAAAAAUCAGGGUAAAUUGGUCUAAUAAAAAUAUAAGACUUUCAUAAGAAUUAUCAAAUCUACCCACCCUUUUCAGUAAUUUUUUUCCCCAGCCUACCCUUAGGUUAUGUUUGGUUCCCGGAAAAUACUAAGGAAAGAAAAAAAAUGCAAAGAAAAAUGAUUUUUUCAUGUUUGGUUGUCCUAUGAAAAAUAUAAAAGAAAAUAAAAUAUAAUUAAAACUAAUUAAAAACCUAUGUAUUUUAAAAUUAUUUAAUCUUUAUAUUAAUGAUUUAAAAUAAAUAAAAUGAGUUUGAAGUAAAAAAUAAAAAUAACUUAUCAACUUUUAAUCCAUUUUUUAUUUUCUUUCACUUUUUCUUUCCUUCUAUUUUUCCUUUGUAUUUUCUUUCCCUUGCAUUUUCCCUCAAAUUUUCUGAGAACCAAACAUAGUCUUAAGGUUAUGUUUGGUUCCCGAAAAAUACUAAAAAAAGAAAAAAAAAUACAAAGAAAAAUGAUUUUUUCAUGUUUGGUUGUCCUAUGAAAAAUAUAAAAGAAAAUCAAAUAUAAUUAAAACUAAUUAAAAACCUAUAUAUUUUAAAAUUAUUUAAUCUUUAUAAGUUAAAAUAAAUAAAAUGAGUUUGAAGUAAAAAAUAAAAAUAACUUAUCAACUUUUAAUCCAUUUUUUAUUUUCUUUCACUUUUUCUUUCCUUCUAUUUUCUUUUUAUUUUCUUUCCCUUGCAUUUUCCCUCAAAUUUUCUGAGAACCAAACAUGGCCUGAGGGUAAUUCUCCCAAAAACCAAUCUCUCCACAGUUUCAGUCUCUCUCUAGUCUCUGUAGAAUUGGGGCGUUGGGGGAAUGGGAAACCGCGUCGCAGAUCUUCACUCCCUAACCAAGUUCCAGGAGAUUCUCAAGUGCUCCGUUUGCUUCGACUUUAUGCAGUCUCCAAUUUAUCAGGUUUGCUUUUUGAUCGAUUUUGCUUAAUGUGUUCUUCUUUUCUCUCUAAGUUUAGUUGUUUUUCUUUGACUUUAUUUAAAAGGAAAAUAGAAAUUUUCUUGAGAAAAUUUUUUAACAGGGUCUUUUUGGGCUUUUUCUCUGCUUUUAUAUAAAUUGUAAUGUAGGGUUUGAUUAGGCGUGUACGGUCUUUCUCUUUUUACUUUUUGGUGGUGGUUGAUUGCUGGGGAGGUUUUGGAUUUUAUUUUAUAUCAGAUUGAAGUUGUGCAUUAAAAUAUUUUUAGAUGAUUUUAUUAUUUGGAUUUGGUUAGAAGAAACAAGGUGAAUUUGUGGGGUAAAGGAUAUUUAUGAGAAAAAAAAUAUGAUUCUGGUUAGAAUUUGAGUUUUUUAUGUUCUGAAUUUUGAUUAUUAGUGUUUAUGUUAUUGAUAGGAUUGAUUGCUUGAAAACUUUUCUCCCUUUUGAGGAAUAUUUUCUCCUGAGUUUGUUUCCUUGCUCUCUUCCUUGGUUGUCAAGAAAGAGGAACGGUUCUAGAACAGCAUACGCCUACCUCUAUGCAUCAAGCACUUGGAUCUCUUGGUAUGAGUAUGACAAGGCUCUUGAAUUUGAGAAUUCGCGAUGCCAAUCUUACAAGUGAGAUAAAGUCGUAAAAGGGUUUGUCUCACGUACCUUUUUAUUGACAGUAAAAUGAGUUUCUGCCUAUUUAAUUCCAAAUACUACACCUUGCAAUGCCUUACAAAAACUAGGUGAUAUCUGAAACUCCUUCGAUCAGGGAAAAUAUGAUGAAGUAGGUGUAAAGGGAAGGUCAUUGGGAUUACAGAGAGAGGCGUAGAUGACAUACUAAUGGUGUAGAAACAGAGAAGAUGUUGGGAUUGCAGUGCCAAAGUGAAGCGACUAUCAAUAGGCCUUGGAACAGAUGGAUCUAGGAGGCAGACUUUUGGUGCAUGCGUAACUUUGUAUCAAAAAAACUAAAUGUGACNNNNNNNNNNNNNNNNNNNNNNNNNNNNNNNNNNNNNNNNNNNNNNNNNNNNNNNNNNNNNNNNNNNNNNNNNNNNNNNNNNNNNNNNNNNNNNNNNNNNGCUACUUGGCACUUGCUAGUGCCUUUUUUGACACACCAAUCUUCAUAGGGAGUGACAGGAUUGGAAACUUUGGAAUGUCGGUCCUUUGGGAGAUCAUAGGAGAGUGAAGUGGAAAUAGAUUCUUCAUGCUUUUUGCUCAAAAUAAAAUUUGCUUCUGUGUUUUGCCAUUUCUUGUAUAUCACUCUUCUGUCAUAAAUAUGGUGUUAUGUAUCUGAAUAAGGUGCCUGCUUGCUCUGUUAUUUGCGCCUCUGGGGAGUUAUCCCAGGCCUGGUUCGAUUGUUUCCUUGGACUUUGAACACCCCUUUUCAUCUUUCUUCCAUUUUUUUUGUCUUUAAAAACAUGGUUAUAUUAUUGUUGGUCUUUUCUUUUAUUAGCAUCCUCCACUUUUGAUGAUAGAGUGAUUUUGAUCAUGAAUGCCUUGAAUUGGUAUAGUGCCUAAAUGUCCCUUCCAGUUUUAUAGAUAUGUAAAUGAUGUCUUCUUGUUUGUCUAGGAAACCAAAAGUUUUUGUUUUUUGUUGAGCUUUGAAACAAAGGUUUUGUUCUUGUAGUGCCACAAUGGACACACACUCUGUUCAAGCUGUAAAGCAAGGGUACUCAACAAAUGUCCCGGUUGUAGGCAGCAGCUCGGUAAUAUAAGGUGUCUAGCUCUGGAGAAGAUGGCCAAAUCACUUGAACUGCAUUGCAAGUAUGAGGAGUUUGGAUGCCCUGAGAUCAUCCCUUACCACACCAAGCUCAUGCAUGAAGACUCGUGUAACUUCCGGCCAUACAGCUGCCCAUGGUAUGGAUGUCCGUGCUCUGCUGUUGGGGAUAUUCCACUCCUUGUUUCUCACCUGACAGAUUAUCACAAGGCAGUCAUGUUCAAUAGCUGCAACUUUAAGCAUGGAUUUUUAAUUGGAGAUCUCUAUAAAAACCCAGGCCGCAGAUGGAUAGUAAUUGUAAGUACUUUUUUUACAUUGCCAUAAAUUUAGAUUCAUAAAACGUAACCUUUAGAUAAGCACCUUGGCACCAUACAUUAAGAGAGUGAUGCCAAAAACAGUGCAUACAUGAUUCACAGGCUACUGAAAAACAGUCCCAGUAGGAUUACAUGGUUGGUUGUUGGAUUAUGGCAAAUAACAGAACUUUCUCUUUUGCCUUUUCAGAUCAUCAAUUGUUUUGACAAACACUUCUGUCUCCAUGCUGAAGCCUUCCUUAUAGGGUCGACUCCCGUUUACAUGGCAUUCCUCAGCCUGAUAGGCAACCAUGCAGAGGCCGGCAACUACAGCUACAGCCUGCAGAUAGGGGGAAAUGGGCGGAAGCUUACUUUUGAGGGCGUCCCACAAAGCAUUAGAGAGAGUGAGAGGAGGAGUUUGGAGAGUGCGGACAGCCUCAUUGUGCCGGGAGGCAUGGUGCAUUCCUUGGGAGGGGAGACGAGAGAGCCAAAACUUGAAAUUACAAGUCGGAUAUGGAAAACCCAGUGUGGAUAAAAGUAUAAAACAGGUUGAUUGAUUGAUAUAAGGGUUUUUGAAAUUCAUCCCUCUCUCUGUAAACAAAGACGAAGAAGACAUGAGUAGAAUAUGAAAGAAUUGGUUGGGUAGAUUCGUGGAUUGAAUUAAUACAAUACAUGAUAUAAAAAUUCUUGAUUUUACAAAUAUUUAUAUUAUUUUUUCCAUAUAUUUAUGCUAAAAGAUAAAGAUAAGAUGAUCAUAUAAAAUGAUAAUAUAAUUUUCACAUUUUAAAAAAUAUCGGCUUAAUCUUAGAAUAAUAUAAUAUUUAAUAUUUUUAAGAAUAAUUUUUAUAUCUAUUAUUUUAUUUUUAAUCAUUUUAUAUAUUUAUAUAAUUAAUUUUUAAAAUAACCUUUAAAAAAUAAGUAAAAAUAGUUCAAAAAUAUUAUUAAAAAAAGACAGUAGAAAAUAAUUUUUCAUUGUUAAAUAUAUUUUCUUGUUUUUUGAAGAUAAUAAAAAAUUGUUUUAGAAAUCGAUUAUCGUCGUUCUUAAUUUUAUAUUUUUAUUUUUCAAUAAAAACUUUGGUAAGGAGUAUUUUACCAAAAAAAUAUUAAAUAGUUAUAUUUUAAGAAACAUGGAGGUUGCUCUCUUGGAUACGUAGGAAAAAAAAUUAUUAUAUAUAUAUAUAUAUAUAUAUAUAUAUAUAUAUUAUGUUUUUAAAAGAUAGCGAUUAUUUUUGAAUUUCAUCUAAUUCAUUGUAUUUCUUAUUAUUUUAAUAUUAUAAUUAUAUUUUUUAUAGUUUGAUUUUUUUUAAAUAAUUAUACAAUAUCUUUCUAAAUUAAUUUUAAAAAUAUUUUUUAAAAGAUACGCUUAAGUCUUAACUAACAUUGUAAUAUCAUGUUUAUCAUUAAAAUACAAAAGGAUUUAUAAACAAUUUAUAUUUUCUUAUUGUAAAAGGAUUUCUACUCAACAAGAAUGGUAACUAUAGACUUAUUCCUAUUCAAGUAUUGGUUUGCUCUUCUAUAAAUAAGAACAGAACAACUCUCACUCAGAGGUGAAUCAAAUCAAGAGAGAAAAAGGGAAAAAAAAACCAAUCUCUCCACAGUUCCUCUCUAGUCUCUGUAGAAUUGAGGCGUUGGGUGAAUGGGAAACCGCGUCGCAGAUCUUCACUCCCUAACCACGUUCCAGGAGCUGCUCAAGUGCCCCGUUUGCUUCAACUUUAUGCCGUCUCCAAUUUAUCAGGUUUGCUUUUUGAUCGAUUUUGCUUCAUGUGUUCUUUUCUCUCUAAGUUUAGUUGUUUUUCUUUCACUUUUUUUAACAGGGUCUUUUCGGGUUUUUUCUCUGCUUUUAUAUAAAUUGUAAUGUUGGGUUUUAUCUGCAAUGAAACAUGUAGAAUUCAUACAUAUAUCCUAUGAUCAAUGUAGAGAUACAUGAACAAAAAGGACUAGAUAAAAAUGUAAAAACGGGUAUCAAAACUAAGGUAAAAGUAGCUGUAGAUUUGAUUAUCCUUAAGUUGGUUUACACAACUUCUAACAGCAACCAGCCACUGAAAUUAGCCAACUAUACAUAGUGCCACUCCACAACCCCAUGAUCCUAUCUAUACAAAACAUAUCACCUUAAGCACAUGAGGCAAUCAAGCUGAACUUUGUGCUCUGUUCGGUAGCUGCAGAAACGUAGAUGAUCAUAUAAAUCAAUGAAAGAAGAAUUCCAAAAUUUAAAGCAUGAUAACAAAAUGAAACUCUUUCUAAGUUCAUUAUUCAGUUUGAAAUUUGUAUGAUUACUUAAGAAUACUUGGUCCUCCACUUGGUUUUGGGAUGAAUGAAGGAGAGUAGAGCAUUAAGAAGAAGAUGAUGAAUGAAUGACAAAGAAGUGAACUUACCUGAAAUCGUUCAGCUGCCAAAGGGUCACUGGGAUUUUUAUCAGGAUGAACUUGCUUUGCUUGCACAAAUAAUAGCAAAAGUUUUGAGAAAGUAUUAUUCUUGCUUUGAGUGAAAGAAACAGGAGUAUGCAUUGUUCUGUAAACCAAACAAGGCCAUGGGGUCAAUCUAUGUCCGUCUCAAUCAACAUUAAAUGGCAUCGAGAGAAAGGAAACCCACCAUAAUGUAGAAACUAUAAAAAUGGUAUUACUCCAUAAAUUAACAUCAUCAGACAGGUCAGUACCAAAUGGCAAAAUUCUUAAACUAUAAACUUAGAUCAUCUUAACCAAAUAAGAAUAUCAGAAAAUUCACAAAUGAGAAUUUCAAGAAACACAAUAACCAUUGAAAUUGAAUGCAACAAAAGUAAAUUAGGUAAAAAGAAAUGGAAAACCCAUACAUUAUUUUAGUUGAAAUGCAACAAAUGGGAUCACCAUUGAGGUUCCUUUGAUACAAUGUCUAGUUUUCCAGUAAAGCCAAAUACUACUUGAAUGACCCUUUAUAUAUAUAUAUAUAUAUAUAUAUAUAUAUAUAUAUAUAUAUAUAUAUAUAUAUAUAUAUAUAUAUAUAUAUAUAUAUAUAUAUAUAUGCGAGCUGUGACACCGACUAACAACGGUGAGNNNNNNNNNNNNNNNNNNNNNNNNNNNNNNNNNNNNNNNNNNNNNNNNNNNNNNNNNNNNNNNNNNNNNNNNNNNNNNNNNNNNNNNNNNNNNNNNNNNNAAAGAAAGAGAGAACCCAUACAUUAUUUUAGUUGAAAUACAAAAAAAGAGAUAUCCAUAGAGAUUCCUAUGAUACACAGUCUAUUUUUCCAGUAAAGCCAAAUACUACUUGAGUGUCCCUUUAUAUAUAUAUAUAUAUAUAUAUAUAUAUAUAUAUAUAUAUAUAUAUAUAUAUAUAUAUAUAUAUAUAUAUAUAUAUAUAUAUAUAUAACUGAUAUGUGAAUACUGCUUACAGAAUUCAGUGGUUGCAAUGCCUGGACUGCCUGGAAUGCAAGCAGUGGCACUGAGUAUAAACGGUGAUAAAGCCAUGUUCUAUAAUGUCAGGCUCUUGGGGGCACAGGACACCCUCAUGGAUCUGUCUGGAACACACUACUUUAACCAGUGUUACAUCCAAGGAAGCAUUGACUUUAUCUUUGGUGGGGCAAGAUCAAUCUAUAAGGUAAAGGGGUUGAUCUUGAUCAUUUUGAUAAUAGAAAUUACUGUUAGUGCUUCAAUCCAAAUGUUGGGUAUUUCUGUAUGAUUCUGAUACUUGAAUUUGCUGUGUUGAACUAGGGAUGUGUCAUCGAAUCAAUAACGACAACUUCAGGAGCAAUUGCAGCUCAUCGCAUGGAAUCACCUAAUGAUGGCACAGGAUUCUCCUUUGUAAACUGCACAAUCAUUGGAAUUGGUAAGCCAAACCUGUUUUCUUUCUUAAUUAGUGUGUCACAUUGCAGGGUGAUGUUUCAAGCUACCCUUGCUAAAGUUGGUCACCAUUUGUUUAGG